AUUUAUAUAGUAUAUAAAGUAUUUUUGACUUCCAAUCAAAUGGACUAAAUUUUUUUAGUAUAAAUA
rnacentral:tRNA from 1 species